UGCUGCGAUACUGAACCUCUUUCUCUUUAGGCUAAUCUGUUUAGCUUGAAUCCAUGUGGGUAACUAUGUGCAUGUUUAGCAGGUGGAUGGAGCUGAUUGAAGGAGAAAGCUGAGCAGCCCUGGAUACUGAGCUCUGAUUGGUGAGUCUAGAGCUCCAGUGUCCAUCCAGGCCAUUCCACCGGGGGAGCACUGGGAUCCGAAUUGGAGGGCAGCUCAUCUGAACAUGGGGACCAAACUUGUUUCAGAAGUGGCUCACCCUGCUCUCCAGUGUCCAUCCAGGCCAUUCCACCGGGGGAGCACUGGGAUCUGAAUUGGAGGGCAGUUCAUCUGAACAUGGGGACCAAACUUGUUUCAGAAGUGGCUCACCCUGCUGUAAGUGGCUACAAAAUGGUUUUUGCUUUAACUCUUUCUUGCCUGAAAUGUUGCCGGCUCCUACCCCCUUGUUCCCUAUCAGAGUUAGAGCCCUCCGGGAAGGUCACCGGUCUGCAGGUCCCCGUUCGGACGCCGCUCGUCGACGCAGGAGUCACAGAGAACGUGGAGACCAUCAACGGGAUCAAGCAAUGGCCAGAGUUUAUUAGAUACAGUGCUCUUCUUAUACCCUUACAGCCUUAUGUAACAGCCUUGGAUGGGAGGGACUACUGAUUUCUGUACUUGUAUGGCUUGUUUCUGUACCCCUAUGAUAUUUUCCUCCCUGAAUAUAACUUGUUAUAAUUGUUGUCUGAAUAAAAAAGAGAGGGUUGAGUUGGAUGGGAUGGACCAUUGAUUUUGUACUGGUUGUUUUUGUACCCCUAUGAUGUUUUCUUCCCUGGCUGUAAGUUGUUAUAAUUGUCUGAACUGAAAAAGGAGAGGGUUGGGGUGGAUGGGACUGACUAUUGAUCUUGUAUUGGUUGUUUCUGUACCCCUAUGAUGUUUUCCUCCCUGACUAAAACUUGCUAUAAUUGUUGGCUGAACUGAAAAAGG